rnacentral:rRNA from 1 species
AUUGAACGCUGGCGGCGUGCUUAACACAUGCAAGUCGAACGAAGUGGCGAACGGGUGAGUAACGCGUAAUCAACCUGCCCUUCAGCGGGGGACAACAGUUGGAAACGACUGCUACUACCGCAUACUGAAGGAGGGGAAGGCGUGUGAUUAGCUAGUUGGAGGGGUAACGGCCCACCAAGGCGAUGAUAAGUAGCCGGUCUGAGAGGAUGAACGGCCACAUUGGAACUGAGACACGGCCCAGACUCCUACGGGAGGCAGCAGUGGGGAAUCUUCCGCAAUGGACGAAAGUCUGACGGAGCAACGCCGCGUGAGUGAUGACGGCCUUCGGGUUGUAAAGCUCUGUUAAUCGGGACGCGGUACCGGAAUAGAAAGCCACGGCUAACUACGUGCCAGCAGCCGCGGUAAUUC